AUUGUAUAUGACAAUGAUGUGCCAAACAAAAUGGGCGCUUGUUCUCAGCAAUAAAAGUUUUAAGAUGAAAUGAACUGAAAAAAUUGGAUAACAUGGUUGAUAUUCAUAUUACAGAUUUCUUAUUACUAAAAUCUUGUUGUCUUUAUUGUUAAAUUAUAGGUUUCAUAACGAGUGAGAAUGGGAUAUCACUUGAUAUCAACUAAAGUUAUCUAAUUUCAAUAUUAUAAUAAACGGGCCUUUAAUAUUUUUUUAGUGUGACUUUUUCGUAUCACGCUCCAUGCAGUGAUACAAGAAAUAUCUAUUCAUACAAGAAAUAGAUAACAUGCCACAUUCAUAAGAGAGGUAGCAUUUAUCUUUCAACAUUUUGAAUAGUUUCUAUGUUAAUGUGAAAACAUACAAAUACAGUUGUAAGUCAAAAUUGAUGAUUUACAUUAUAGAUUGAAAAAAUUGUAAAAUAUUCCCUGUAAUUUGUUUAAUUAAUGCAGAGGAUUUGAUUUCCAAUCUAGUUUUUCCAAGC
rnacentral:lncRNA from 1 species